AGUGGUACUCAUAGGUUAUGGUCACACUGCAAGAAAAUGUAGCCCAAACCCCAAAAUUUUCUUCAAUGUGAACAGCAUAAAUCACAUGCAAUCUGAUAUUUUUGGCCUUUUUCAGACUGUCAGUCCAAAUCCAAUUUUUGUGCAUAUCCAGUUGAGUAGCAAGGACUUUGAAUGACAUUCAAUCUGACCAAUCAUAAUGCAGAAUCCACAAUUUUUGUCCGACAAACGAACCAGACAGGAAAAUAGGUUAACGUCAGUGAACCUGAACUUGAAAAAUGGUGUGUAUUGACAUCUUCCUGCGUUUGAAACAAGAUACCUUCUGAUGUUCAUUCAUGUUUAUUUCAUGCUGUAACUAGGAAAGAGGUAGAGAUGAUCGGUUCACUUGACGCUUGAACUGAGGUGCUACAGCGAUCUGUCACGACACAUAAAAGAGCCUCAAAAUGGUAGUCAUUGUUUGAAUUACUGUACAAAAAUGACAAAAUUUGAAAGCUGAGACUUUGUCUCAUACUGAAAGUAACUUGUUCUGUCUUGUCUGUCGGUGCAUUGUCAGUUUCCUCUUUGCUCAGCAAUGUAUUUUUCAUAGCGUGAGAACAUGAUGUGUGGAUCGAGAUCAGCAUGGCUUGUCAGACAUAGCAAAAAUAACAAAGGGGGACGGGUCUUUGCGAAGGGUCAAUUGGAAUCCAAUCAAAUUUAGAAAGUGUGAACGGCAAAAAAAUCACAUGAAAUCCAAUUUUUUACAAAUCCGUUUCAAGCUACAUUCAUAUGUGGUUUGAAAUCCUAUUCAAAUCGCAUUUCUGGAAAUCUGUUUCAGUCAGAUUGGAUUUUGUAUGACUUUUUCACAUUCUCAAGCCAUGUAAAACAUAAGCACGUCAGACAGAAAUGUAGAAAGCUGGAAUAUGUGGCUUUAUUCCGUGCUCUACUGGUCUAAAAACUCAGAUGAUGUAGUCAUGACAUCCACCAACAGGGGCAAACUGAACCAUGCUAAACAACCAAACCUUGAUCCCUUAGGGACACGUCUGCAUUUGAAAUGACUCACAACAGAUGUGACUCUCUUGUGCAGCUGUUCUUCUUGAGUUUGAUGAAGGUGCCCCAACUCUGGAGAGCACUGUGAACAUUUCCAGGGCUCCCUGGCACCUGCUAGGAUUUCAGAUCAGUUCGUCUCACUUCACGCAUCAGGAGGACCUUUGAGAGGUUGGUCCUUAAACAGCUCUGACCCGGUCCCA
ensembl:lncRNA